rnacentral:lncRNA from 1 species
AUACAAAAGAAAGUUAAAAGUUAAAUAAAUAUAGAAUUAAAGAAGAUGUCACUGUUCACUGCCUUGAUUUCAUCAUCACCUCUUAUAUAGAUUGAUCUGCCAUUCAAUCGCUUAGAAAUUUCUAUGAAUCACGUUGGUGCAGCUCGAAGACAGU